rnacentral:tRNA from 1 species
UGGAUAGAGCGACUGACUACGAAUCAGUAGGUCGGCGGUUCGAGCCCGUCCGGGCGCA